rnacentral:rRNA from 1 species
UACAGAGGGGGCAAGCGUUGUUCGGAAUUACUGGGCGUAAAGGGCGCGUAGGCGGCCUUCUAAGUCGAACGUGAAAUCCCCGGGCUCAACCCGGGAACUGCGUCCGAUACUGGAAGGCUUGAAUCCGGGAGAGGGAUGCGGAAUUCCAGGUGUAGCGGUGAAAUGCGUAGAUAUCAGGAGGAACACCAAUGGCGAAGGCAGAUCUCUGGGCCGUAACUGACGCUGAGGAGCGAAAGCAUGGGGAGCGAACAGG